ACAGGCGCAGGCGCAGGAGAGUUGCUCACGCCCCAUCCCUGAGGCGGGAGCAGCAUCUCUGCACAGCGCCCACCGCCACCAUGUUGGACUGAGCAUCUUGCGCAGCUUCUGGAAAGACGGACUGACUCGCGGAGCUGAAGUGCUCUCGUAGCCGUUUCCCAUCAGGAACUCUGGCCUGAGGCACCAGGUGCGAGGCCUCUGCGUGCGGCCUUCUGUGAGCUUGUGAAACAGACCAAGCACAAAGGAAAAGAAACAGGAUCCUGCUGGCAACGGCGUGAUGACACGUUUCUGCUGACAGCUCUGAACUUUCAGGCAGAAUCUCUGUGAAUAAGGUGAGAGGGAGGCUUUAAUUAACGCCCUCAGACGGGGAAUGAAAACACCGAGCAGGAAGGUUGUGAGAUGGAUCUGGCUGUCAAAACGAAAUGAAAUAAAAACCCCAAAGUGUUCUGCCCCAACAAGCAGCCCUGCCUCGUGCUGCUGGGCCCUGACCCUCUCCCAGGCCUGGGCCAUGACCCUGGAGUCUGCGGAGAGAUGCUUCAUUUGGAAGGAAUCGAUGAAGCAACUUGCCACAGAAAUCUCCUACCAAGGGCACCCUGUGCCUCACUCCUCUCUCUGCCCUGAGGGCUGCUUUCAAAUCCCUGAUGAUCUCAAAUUCCCUAGAAAGGGCUCGAAAAUAUCCCUCCGUAAUUAUGCCCCAGUGAGGAACUAUCAGCCUGGGAAAGAGGACUCCGAAAGAAUCCCUGAAGUCAGGCCUGGCCAUUGUGUCUGUUUUUAGAGUUCGAUGAGAAAUUCAUGUUACACUUCAGGAAACCUCUUUGGUAAAGUAGCUUGAACGUCCCAGCCUGAGGCUAGCAUUCUCUUUCUUUAGGAAGAGACAUAUUUCAGAAUCAGAAUAUGACUUUGAACACAGCCUGAGAAAUCCAAUAUCGUACAGCAGGGAGAUGUCAGCACCGAGGUUCAAGGACAGCUGACGAGGUAGCAUGUUUCGUCACCCCACUCUGUCUGGAGUGAUCCCUGCCCUUCUCACUAAUAGACUCACGCUCUUCUCUCCAUGUGAAAACAAGUCCCAAGCUUUAUCAUUUUCAACAAGGAUCUGUGGACCACUUAGGAUCUGCCAGGCAUUGCCUUAGGAACUGGAAAUCCAGAGGUUACUUUAAAAGCAAAAUCCUUGUCUUCGUAAAAGCAGAUGCACCGUAUGAACCUCAGCUGCUCCACUGAAGGUGCGCAAAGCAAUCUGUACUUACGCAGAAAGGAUAUGCCCUUGGCUCUGAUCUUACUUCUCUGUUCAUCUCAGGUUUGCUGUCCGGUCUCACCCUGACUGUAAAUUCCUCAAGGGCAUGAACCACAGCCUCCUUUGGUCUCUCUUGGUGCCACAUAUGGAGCCAUGUCCCCGUGACCACUCAAAACCCAUGACGGGCAUCCAGACACUCAGAUAACCUCCUAGGUGAUGUGCUCUGACACAGAGAGCAUGUGCUGUUGGGCUUGCUGUUUAUAUUUUUGGAACCUGAGUCAGCGUGCUUGCAUAGAAUGGCCAAGAAAACAAAGCGAGGGGUCAGGCUGAGACAAGACUGGGAAUCUUACUUCCCAAAUUCCUGACUUAAAGAAAACAGUGGGGACGAGACAGGAGAGUCUCUCACCCGUCAAGAGUGCGUGACUGAGGGUGACCUCGAAAGGUCUCAAGCGAUCUGAAAUGUUGUUAUUGGUAAGAAUUAUGCCUACACAUGAUCAGCGCUUUAUACCUUGCAUUUAGUCAUUCAUUCAAGAACAAACCUCACUGUGUGGCAGAACCACCAGAAUAGGAUGCCUGCCUUCAAGGAUCUGGGCUCUUUGCUGAUUUGAUCUUCUAAGAUCGCUUCAGGACAGUUUGGCAGCCCCCAUCACCCCUGGGGAAUAAAGCCUAAGGUUUCCAACUUCAGACUUUGGGAUUUAACCGCAAAGCAUAGGGUAACAUGAUGAGCUCUUCCAGCUUCGCUGUAUUCAUAAUAGUGUUCAAAGCAUCAUCCAUCUUAGGGGGCAUAAGAGUCAAGGUUGAGCAUAAAGGGAUUCAUCGUAGGAACUGGCUGACGUCAUUGUGGGCAUGGGCUAAGCGUGAGUGAAGUUCCCAGGGAAACAGUCGGGAAAGGUGCCAGUGGGCUGGAAGCCCACGGACAAAGGCUGAUGCUGGCUGUCCAUCUGCAGGCAGCCGUGUAGAAGGAUGGUCCAGGGGAAAGGAGAGCACCAGACACCAAGCAGCUGGUCGGCAUCUCUGAGCCCGUUUCAAUAAACGCCUUGCAACUGAUAAAAUCAGGCCGCCCAAGUAACCUCCCCUCUGAUUAGCAGGAAGUCAGCUGAUCAGGGACUUUAAUUAUAUCUGCAAAAUCCCUUCACGGCAACGCAUGCACUGGUCUUCGGCUGAACAACCGGGAAAGAUUUGUGUGCUGCAAAACACCCCCUGCCUCACAAUCCAGCUCCCAAGAGAAUAUCACUCCCAGCCCAUCCUCCCCUGAACUCAGGAGAAAGAGACACAGGGUCAGUCCCUGUUGAGGUGACUCAGCAAAAAGACAUCCCGUGAGGUUAUCAUGAAGCUUAAGGAGAUGGUACACAUAAAAUGCCUGGAGAACACAUAGCAGGUGGAACUGCCAUUUAGCAGAUGAGAAAGUCAAGCUCAGAAAAUAGGCAAAUAGGAGUUCCCGUCGUGGCGCAGUGGUUAACGAAUCCGACUAGGAACCAUGAGGUUGUGGGUUCGGUCCCUGCCCGUGCUCAGUGGGUUAACGAUCCGGCGUUGCCGUGAGCUGUGGUGUAGGUUGCAGACGCAGCUCGGAUCCCAAGUUGCUGUGGCUCUGGCGUAGGCGGGUGGCUACAGCUCCGAUUCAACCCCUAGCCUGGGAACCUCCAUAUGCCGCAGGAGCGGCCCAAGAAAUAGCAACAACAACAACAACAACAACAACAAAAAGACAAAAAAAAAAAAAAAAAAAAAAAA
rnacentral:lncRNA from 1 species